rnacentral:rRNA from 1 species
UGCAUGGCCGUCGUCAGUUCGUACUGUGAAGCAAUCCUGUUAAGUCAGGCAACGAGCGAGACCCACGCCCACAGUUGCCAGCGUACUCUCUGGAGUGACGGGUACACUGUGGGGACCGCCGCUGGCUAAAGCGGAGGAAGGAAUGGGCAACGGUAGGUCAGUAUGCCCCGAAUAUCCCGGGCUACACGCGAGCUACAAUGGUUGGUACAAUGGGUAUCUACCCCGAAAGGGGACGGGAAUCUCCUAAAACCAAUCUUAGUUCGGAUUGAGGCUGCAACUCGCCCUCAUGAAGCUGGAAUCCGUAGUAAUCGCGUUUCAACAGAACGCGGUGAAUACGUCCCUGCUCCUU